CGGCUGGGGCGGGUCGAAGUGCAGGCCCCGCCCCAUCAGCACAGGCCCCGCCUCUCCCGCGCGCCUGCUCCGCCCAGCCCGGCUGCCCAGACUCGGGAGGCUGCGGCGGGACGCGGGGCGUCAUGGCGGCCUCGGAGCGCCGCGCCUUCGCUCACAAGAUCAACAGGACUGUGGCUGCUGAGGUCCGGAAGCAGGUGUCCCGGGAACGCAGCGGCUCACCCCACUCCAGCCGUCGCUCCAGUAGUUCCCUGGGGGUCCCUCUGACGGAGGUCAUCGAACCCCUGGACUUCGAAGAUGUGCUUCUGAGCCGGCCACCUGAAGUAGAGCCCGGUCCCCUCAGGGACUUGAUAGAGUUUCCAGUUGAUGACUUAGAACUACUGAAGCAGCCCCGAGAAUGCCGGACCACAGAGUCUGGGGUGCCAGAGGAUGGACAGUUGGAUGCCCAGGUGAGGGCUGCCGUGGAGAUGUACUCAGAGGACUGGGUCAUUGUACGCAGAAGGUACCAGCACCUGAGUACAGCAUACAGCCCCAUCACUACAGAGACACAGCGAGAGUGGCAGAAAGGCCUCACCUGCCAAGUCUUCGAGCAGGAUACCCCUGGGGAUGAGAGGACAGGUCCUGAGGAUGUGGAUGACCCCCAGCACUGUUCAGGCUCCCCAGAGGACACCCCUCGAAGCAGUGGCGCCUCAGGCAUCUUCAGCCUGAGGAACCUGGCAGCGGACUCUCUGCUGCCCACACUGCUGGAGCAGGCAGCCCCCGAGGAUGUGGACCGGCGCAAUGAAGCCCUCAGGCGGCAGCACCGGGCCCCCACCCUGCUCACCUUGUACCCGGCACCUGAUGAGGAUGAAGCUGUAGAACGCUGCAGCCGCCCUGAGCCACCCCGAGAGCACUUUGGACAGAGGAUACUGGUGAAGUGCCUGUCACUCAAGUUUGAGAUUGAAAUUGAACCCAUCUUCGGCACCUUGGCCCUGUAUGAUGUGCGGGAGAAGAAGAAGAUUUCAGAAAACUUCUACUUUGACCUAAACUCGGACUCCGUUAAGGGGCUGCUCCGGGCCCAUGGCACCCACCCAGCCAUCUCCACCUUGGCACGCUCUGCCAUCUUCUCCGUGACCUACCCAUCUCCUGACAUCUUCCUGGUUGUCAAGCUGGAAAAGGUGCUGCAGCAGGGGGACAUCAGUGAGUGCUGUGAACCCUACAUGGUGAUGAAGGAGGCAGACACAGCGAAGAACAAAGAGAAGCUGGAGAAGCUGCGCCUGGCUGCCGAGCAGUUCUGCACCAGGCUGGGCCGCUACCGCAUGCCCUUCGCCUGGACGGCUGUGCACUUGGCCAACAUCGUGAGCAGGCCCCAGGACCGGGAUUCCGACUCUGAGGGCGAACGCAGACCCACCUGGGCCGAACGCCGCCGUCGGGGGCCCCAGGAUCGAGGCUAUAGUGGGGAUGAUGCCUGCAGCUUCUCUAGCUUCCGCCCGGCCACGUUAACUGUCACCAACUUUUUCAAACAGGAGGCAGAACGGCUCAGUGAUGAAGACCUUUUCAAGUUUCUGGCCGACAUGCGGCGACCAUCAUCCCUGCUGAGGCGAUUGCGCCCUGUGACAGCUCAGCUCAAGCUUGACAUCUCCCCGGCCCCCGAGAACCUGCACUUCUGCCUGUCCCCUGACUUACUUCAUGUCAAGCCCUACCCUGACCCCAGGGGACGGCCCACCAAGGAGAUCCUGGAGUUCCCUGCCCGCGAGGUCUACGCCCCCCAUUCCUGUUACAGGAACCUGCUCUUCGUGUACCCACACAGCCUCAAUUUCAGCAGUCGCCAGGGCUCUGUGCGCAACCUGGCUGUGCGGAUCCAGUACAUGGCCGGUGAAGACCAGAGCCAGGCCUUGCCGGUCAUCUUUGGGAAAUCUAGCUGCAGCGAAUUCACCCGAGAGGCCUUCACACCAGUGGUCUAUCACAACAAGUCUCCUGAAUUCUACGAGGAAUUCAAGCUACGACUUCCUGCCUGCGUGACCGAGAACCAUCACCUCUUUUUUACCUUCUACCAUGUCAGCUGCCAGCCCCGGCCAGGAACAGCCUUGGAGACGCCUGUGGGCUUCACUUGGAUCCCUCUGUUACAACAUGGCCGCCUGAGGACUGGUCCCUUCUGCCUGCCCGUGUCCGUGGACCAGCCUCCACCCAGCUACUCGGUCCUGACCCCAGAUGUAGCGCUGCCUGGCAUGCGCUGGGUGGACGGCCACAAGGGCGUGUUCAGUGUGGAGCUCACCGCCGUGUCGUCCGUGCACCCGCAGGACCCCCACUUGGAUAAGUUCUUCACGCUGGUACAUGUUCUAGAGGAAGGGAUCUUUCCGUUCCGACUCAAGGAGACAGUGCUGAGCGAAGGCACUAUGGAGCAGGAGUUGCGAGCCAGCCUGGCAGCCCUGCGCCUUGCCAGCCCAGAGCCCCUAGUAGCCUUUUCCCACCUCGUGCUAGACAAGCUUGUCCGCUUGGUUGUGCGGCCACCCAUCAUUUGUGGCCAGAUGGUGAACCUGGGUCGAGGGGCCUUUGAAGCUAUGGCUCAUGUAGCCAGCCUUGUGCACCGGAACCUGGAGGCUGUCCAAGACUCCCGUGGCCACUGCCCACUGCUGGCCUCCUAUGUCCACUACGCCUUUCGCCUCCCUGGUGGUGACCUCAGCCUGCCAGGCGAAGCCCCUCCAGCAACUGUGCAGGCUGCCACACUGGCCCGUGGCUCUGGUCGCCCCGCCAGCCUGUACCUGGCACGGUCUAAGAGCAUCAGCAGCAGCAACCCUGACCUGGCUGUGGUCCCUGGCUCUGUGGACGAUGAGGUGUCCCGCAUCCUAGCCAGCAAGGGUGUCGAUCGCUCACACUCCUGGGUGAAUUCUGCUUAUGCUCCGGGAGGCAGCAAGGCUGUGCUGCGGCGGGUGCCCCCAUACUGUGGGGCUGAUCCCAGACAGGCCAUCGACCGCAACUCUAGCCGGGCCUCCUCUUACCUCGAGGCCUCAUCCUCGGCCCUGCCAGCCCCUCAGUCGAGACACACUGUGCAGAAGCUGCUGCACGAGGAGCUGGCUCUGCAGUGGGUGGUGAGCGGCAGUGCGGUUCGUGAGCUAGUCCUGCAGCAUGCCUGGUUCUUCUUCCAGCUCAUGGUAAAAAGCAUGGAGCUCCAUCUGCUUCUGGGCCAGCGACUGGACACUCCCCGCAAGCUGCGCUUCCCUGGGCGCUUCCUGGAUGACAUUGCCGCCCUGGUGGCUUCCGUGGGCCUGGAAGUCAUCACCAGAGUCCAUAAGGACAUGAAGCUAGCUGAACGCCUCAACGCUAGCCUGGCUUUCUUCCUCAGUGACCUCCUGUCCAUAGCGGACCGAGGCUACAUUUUCAGCCUGGUACGCGCUCACUACAAGCAGGUGGCCACUCGGCUCCAGUCUGCCCCCAACCCAACUGCACUGCUCACACUACGAAUGGACUUCACCCGCAUCCUGUGUAGCCAUGAGCACUAUGUGACCCUUAACCUCCCCUGUUGCCCCCUGUCGCCCCCAGCAUCCCCGUCCCCCUCGGUGUCCUCCACUACCUCCCAGAGCUCCACCUUCUCCAGCCAGGCCCCCGAUCCGAAGGUGACCAGCAUGUUCGAGCUGAGCGGGCCCUUCAGGCAGCAGCACUUCCUGUCCGGACUCCUGCUGACAGAGCUGGCCCUGGCCCUGGAUCCGGAAGCUGAGGGGGCAUCCCUUUUGCACAAGAAGGCUAUUAGUGCCGUGCACAGCCUGCUGUGCAGCCACGAUGUUGACUCCCGCUACGCAGAAGCUACCGUGAAGGCCAAGGUGGCCGAGCUGUACCUGCCCCUCCUCUCCCUUGCAAGGGACACACUGCCACAGCUGCAUGGCUUUGCCGAGGGCUCAGGGCAGCGGUCAAGACUGGCUUCCAUGCUGGACUCAGACACAGAAGGUGAAGGGGACAUCGGAAGCACCAUCAACCCAUCUGUGGCCAUGGCCAUCGCUGGGGGUCCCCUGGCUCCUGGCUCUCGCACCAGCAUUUCCCAGGGACCUUCAACAGCAGCUCGCUCAGGCUGUCCUCUCUCUGCUGAAUCCAGCCGGACCUUGCUGGUGUGUGUCCUGUGGGUCCUGAAGAAUGCAGAGCCAACGCUCCUGCAGCGCUGGGCUGCUGACCUGGCCCUGCCCCAGCUGGGGCGACUCCUCGACCUACUCUACCUCUGUCUGGCUGCCUUCGAGUACAAGGGGAAGAAAGCCUUUGAGCGGAUCAACAGCCUCACGUUCAAGAAGUCUCUGGACAUGAAAGCGCGGCUGGAGGAAGCCAUCCUGGGCACCAUUGGGGCGCGGCAGGAGAUGGUGCGGCGGAGUCGGGAGAGAAGUCCAUUUGGAAACCAAGAGAAUGUUCGCUGGCGGAAGAGUGCCACACACUGGAGACAGACCUCAGACCGUGUGGACAAGACCAAGGAUGAAAUGGAACAUGAAGCUCUGGUGGACGGAAACCUGGCGACAGAGGCCAGCCUGGUGGUUCUGGACACGCUGGAGACCAUCGUGCAGACAGUGAUGCUGUCCGAGGCCCGUGAGAGCAUCCUGAGUGCCGUGCUGAAAGUUGUCCUCUACAGUCUUGGGAGCGCCCAGAGUGCCCUGUUCCUGCAGCAUGGCCUGGCCACCCAGCGGGCCCUGGUCUCCAAGUUUCCGGAGCUGCUUUUCGAGGAAGACACGGAGCUUUGUGCCGACCUGUGCCUGAGACUUCUGCGACACUGUGGCAGCCGCAUCAGCACCAUCCGCAUGCACGCCAGCGCCUCCCUCUACCUGCUUAUGCGCCAGAACUUCGAGAUUGGCCAUAACUUUGCCCGUGUGAAGAUGCUGGUGACCAUGUCUCUGUCGUCCCUUGUGGGGACAACUCAGAACUUUAGUGAAGAGCAUUUGAGAAAGUCCCUCAAGACCAUCCUGACCUACGCAGAGGAGGACAUAGGGCUGAGGGACAGCACCUUCGCUGAGCAGGUCCAGGACCUCAUGUUCAACCUGCACAUGAUCCUGACAGACACGGUGAAGAUGAAGGAACACCAGGAGGACCCUGAGAUGCUCAUGGACCUCAUGUACAGAAUUGCUCGGGGAUACCAAGGCUCUCCAGACCUGCGGCUGACAUGGCUGCAGAACAUGGCUGGCAAACAUGCAGAGCUGGGCAAUCAUGCAGAGGCUGCCCAGUGCAUGGUCCACGCCGCUGCCCUGGUGGCCGAAUACCUUGCCCUCCUCGAGGACAGUCGCCACCUGCCUGUGGGCUGUGUGUCCUUCCAGAAUGUCUCAUCCAACGUGCUGGAGGAGUCUGCCAUCUCUGAUGACAUCCUGUCGCCAGAUGAGGAGGGCUUCUGCUCUGGGAAGAACUUCACAGAACUGGGUCUGGUGGGGCUGCUGGAGCAGGCGGCCGGCUACUUCACCAUGGGUGGUCUGUAUGAAGCGGUGAACGAAGUCUACAAAAACCUUAUCCCCAUCCUUGAAGCCCACAGAGACUACAAGAAGCUGGCUGCGGUGCACGGGAAACUGCAGGAGGCCUUCACCAAGAUUAUGCACCAGAGCUCUGGCUGGGAGGUGAGUCCUGGUGAACAGUGGUCAACGAACACUAGGGGGCGCCAGAACAGCAUGGCACCCCUCCAUAGGGGCCUGAGCUCAGUGGUUGAUGACGCACAGUCCCCUACUUAUUCCCUUCCCCCAAAUGCCCCAUCUCAGGGGCAGCCUGUGAGUCACCCAGCUGGGAACUCUCCAGAGACACCCCUCCCUCGGGUAGGACCAGCUCAGUCACCACCAGGACUGUGGGUGGAAGAGGAAUGGGGCUAUCUCUCCCUCUCCGUCUCAUUCCUUUUCUCCCUCUGCCUUAGGGCUCCCACGCUCUCUCCAUCUCAGUCUCCCGACUCCCGGCUUUGCUCGGGACAACUACUCCUCAUCUCUGUCAGGGUGCUCCCCACAAAUCCCGCCUUGCCUUCUCCUUUCUAUUUUUAGGCAUCUCUCAGUUGAGGGAGAAUUUUCUGGCCAAAGAUGGCAGAAACCCAGAGCCCUAGGCAGGCUGGGUGGGGGCAAGUGGGUAGGUCCCCGCCUUUCCUGCAUCGGAGAUCUCCUUCUCCCUCUACAGAACGAUUCUCAUAGGGGGGUAUAAGCAGGACCCUGGGAGGGGUAACUCUGACCUCUGACCUCUCCAAUGACUGCAUCUCUCUGUCUCCCAUCUUUCCAUUCUUGUUUCUGGCCACACAAUGUCUGCCCCACCCUGUCUGGAUCGGCUUUGCCCAGCGUGUAUUUGGGACAUAUUUCCGAGUGGGCUUCUAUGGCACACGAUUUGGUGACCUGGAUGAACAAGAGUUUGUGUACAAGGAACCGUCAAUCACGAAGCUUGCAGAGAUCUCACACCGGCUGGAGGAGUUCUAUACGGAAAGGUUCGGGGAUGAUGUGGUAGAGAUCAUCAAAGAUUCUAACCCAGUGGACAAGUCCAAGCUGGACCCACAGAAGGCGUACAUACAGAUAACCUAUGUGGAGCCACAUUUCGACACUUAUGAGCUCAAGGAUCGGGUGACCUACUUCGAUCGGAACUAUGGGCUGCGGGCCUUCCUCUUCUGCACACCCUUCACACCAGAUGGACGUGCGCACGGAGAGUUGGCCGAACAGCACAAACGCAAGACGCUGCUGAGCACGGAGCAUGCCUUUCCCUACAUCAAGACACGCAUCCGAGUGUGCCACCGUGAGGAGACAGUGCUGACACCAGUGGAGGUGGCCAUUGAGGACAUGCAGAAGAAGACCCGGGAGCUGGCCUUUGCCACCGAGCAGGACCCUCCAGAUGCCAAGAUGCUGCAGAUGGUUCUCCAGGGUUCUGUGGGACCCACUGUGAACCAGGGUCCCUUGGAAGUGGCCCAGGUGUUUUUGUCAGAGAUCCCAGAAGAUCCCAAGCUCUUCCGACAUCACAACAAACUCCGGCUCUGCUUCAAGGAUUUCUGCAAAAAGUGCGAGGAUGCACUGAGAAAGAACAAGGCCCUGAUUGGCCCAGACCAGAAGGAGUACCACCGGGAGCUGGAGCGUCACUAUAGCCGCCUGCGGGAGGCUCUGCAGCCUCUGCUUACCCAACGUCUGCCCCAGCUGCUGGCACCAAGUUCCACCAGCCUCAGGAGCUCCAUGAACAGAUCAAGUUUCAGGAAGGCUGACCUCUGACAAGGCUAAGAGCCACACCCAGAAGACCAGCACCCACACCUCAGCUGCCUGUGCCUUUCUGGAGUUAUAGCUGCCCCGAGUCGAAGUCCUAGGAGAUGAGCCCCCUGUCUGUCUGCACUGAUGGAUUCUAAAUUUUGUUUUUGUUUGUUUUUAAUUUAAAGUGAGUUUUAUAUACAA